AGCAGUAGCCGCGGGAAUACGAAGGGGGCUAGCGUUGCUCGGAAUUACUGGGCGUAAAGGGAGCGUAGGCGGACAUUUAAGUCAGGGGUGAAAUCCCGGGGCUCAACCUCGGAAUUGCCUUUGAUACUGGGUGUCUUGAGUAUGAGAGAGGUAUGUGGAACUCCGAGUGUAGAGGUGAAAUUCGUAGAUAUUCGGAAGAACACCAGUGGCGAAGGCGACAUACUGGCUCAUUACUGACGCUGAGGCUCGAAAGCGUGGGGAGCAAACAGGAUUAGAUACCCCGGUAGUCCCUGUCUCUUAUAC
rnacentral:rRNA from 1 species